GGUUCGAUCCUGGCUCAGAUUGAACGCUGGCGGAUGUUUUUAUUAUGCAAGUCGAACGGCAGCACGGACUUCGGUCUGGUGGUGAGUGGCGGAACGGGUGAGUAAUGUAUCGGAAACGUGCCUAGUAGCGGAUAACUACGCGAAAGCGUAGCCAAUACCGCAUACGCCCUCGGGGGAAAGCGGGGGACUCUUCGGGCCUGCACUAUUAGAGCGGCCGGAUAUCGGAUUAAUAAGUUGGUGGGGUAUCAGGCUCACCACAGUGACGAUCCGUAGCUGGUUUGAGGACGACCAGCCACACUGGGAUUCUGAGACACGGCCCAGACUCCUACGGGAGGCAGCAGUGGGGAAUUUUGACAAUGGGGAAAACCCUUUGAUCCAGCUAUCCGGCGUGUGCGAUGAAGGCCUUUCGGGUUGUAAAGCACUUUGGCAGGAAAGAAACGCACGGGAUAAUACCCCGUGCAACUGACGGUACCUGCAGAAUAAGCACCGCUAAUCAAAGCAGCAGCCGCGGUAAUACGUAGGCGUAAGCGUUAAUCGAAUUUACGCUAAAGUGGUGGCGCAAGGCGGUUCGAAAGAAAGAUGUGAAAUCCCCAGAGUUUUCAGAAUCUUGAACUGCAUUUUUAACUACCGAGCUAGAGUGUCAGAGGGAGUGUGGAAUUCGAAGGCGUAGCAGUGAAAUGCGGGGAUGAGCGUGGAGGAACACCGACGCUGUUAAGGCAGCCUCCUGGGAUAACACCGAUGUCACGCACUGAAAGUGGAGCAACAGGAUGCAUACCUGGUAGUCCACGCCCUAAACGAUGUCAACUAGCUGCUGGGGCCUUCUCGGGCCUUGGUAGCGCAGCUAACGUGGAAGUUGAUCCAUUUUGGGGAGUACGGUCGCAAGAUUGGAAACUUCAAAGGAAUUGACGGGGACCCGCACAAGCGGUGGAUGAUGUGGAUUAAUUCGGAUGCAACGCGAAAAACUGACUACCUCUUUGACAUGUCUGGAAUCCCGGAAGAGAUUUGGGAGUGCUCGCAAGAGAACCGAACACAGGUGCUGCAUGGCUGUCGUCAGCUUCCGUGUCCUGAGAUGUUGGGUUAAGUCCCGCAACGAGCGCAACCCUUGUCAUUAUUGCGCACAGAAAAGGGCACUCUAAUGAGACUGCCGGUGACAAACCGGAGGAAGGUGGGGAUGAUUGUCAAGUCCGCGGCCCUUAUGGGUAGGGUCAAGACGCUCAAGUACAAUGGUCGGGACAGAGGGUCGCCAACCUGAGGGUUAAUCCAGAACCUGAUCGGGAAUACUGGAUCGCAGUCUGCAACUCGACUGCGGAAGUCGCGGGAAUCGCCAGUAAUCGCGGAUCAGCAUGUCGCGGUGGAAUACGUUCCCGGGUCUUGUACACACCGCCCGUCACACCAUGGGAGUGGGUUUUACCAGAAGAGCACAAUGAACCAAGGAGGGCGAUUACCACGGUAGGAUUCAUGACUGGGGUGAAGUCGUAACAAGGUAAC
rnacentral:rRNA from 1 species